AAGUUAUAUCAGCUUUGAAAACCUUAAAUUGAUAAAACUAUACCUGAAAUUAUGUCAGCUGCCGUGCCGAGUGUUUUUAUUUUGAGAUACGAUAUUUUCGCACAACAAUAUUUCUCACUAAUCCAACUUCACUUUUUCGUCACAUGACAGAACUCGGGUUAAUGAUUGGUUAGAAGGUCAGAUAUUUUCGCAUAUAGUGGAACAUACAUAUUUAAUUCUAAAUAAUCGAUAAAAAGAUUUCCGCAAA
rnacentral:lncRNA from 1 species